rnacentral:rRNA from 1 species
CAGGACGAACGCUGGCGGCGUGCUUAACACAUGCAAGUCGAACGGAAAGGCCCUGCUUUGUGGGGUGCUCGAGUGGCGAACGGGUGAGUAACACGUGAGUAACCUGCCCUUGACUUUGGGAUAACUUCAGGAAACUGGGGCUAAUACCGGAUAGGAGCUCCUGCUGCAUGGUGGGGGUUGGAAAGUUUCGGCGGUUGGGGAUGGACUCGCGGCUUAUCAGCUUGUUGGUGGGGUAGUGGCUUACCAAGGCUUUGACGGGUAGCCGGCCUGAGAGGGUGACCGGCCACAUUGGGACUGAGAUACGGCCCAGACUCCUACGGGAGGCAGCAGUGGGGAAUAUUGCACAAUGGGCGGAAGCCUGAUGCAGCAACGCCGCGUGCGGGAUGACGGCCUUCGGGUUGUAAACCGCUUUCGCCUGUGACGAAGCGUGAGUGACGGUAAUGGGUAAAGAAGCACCGGCUAACUACGUG